UUGGUUCUGGCCCCGUCCCCUGCCAGAGCACCUUGUUUCUGCCCUGAGGCAAGAACGGUGUCCCUGGACUGUACCAUUCUCUGAUUCCGGGUUGGCGGCGUGGGAGGGAGGGCGUGCAUCAGCUUAUUCCCCAGCCUCGCUUCCGCUUUUUGUGGGACUGACAAUUUCUCGCACGUUAGUUAUGCCUUAGUAGUGUUGCCCGAUUCUUCCUCCCUCCCCCCCUUCACACAUGGUACAAGCCCCAGGUGCCCUGCUCAGGUGUGGCCGGUGGGACAAACCACGAGCGCAGACAGAGAGGGCACAUUAGCAUUAUAGGAAGGCGACGCAGGCGGAGCAGCCUCCACGGGAGAUUGAAGUGUCUGCACCGCCGCCGCCGCCGGGGCCAUUGGGAAGCGGAGGAGGCGGAGCCCUCGUCGCUCCGGGCCUGGCCACGCCUUGGUUGAGAAACGCUGGACUAGAUGGCCUCCUAAGGUCCCUUCCAACUCUCAUUGUCUAUGAUUCUGCAACAUGCCUCUGUAGUGUAACGCAAAUGCUUUAUUCCCCCACUCCCUUCCCCCACUUAAAUCCAACCUUUGUUUGCUAAAACAGGCUGCUCCUGGGACCUCCAUGAGCAUGAUCUAGCAGUUUAAUCACAAAUGUGCCUUUCUGGAGCUGGUAAAUGAGAUAUGACACCCUUAAAAGAAGUCUGGGGAAGCAAAAAAACCAAAAACAACCCGUGGCUCCUAAUUUCAUGCAUGUCUAAAGGGUGGGCAGUACUUAAAUGACAACCUCAAGGGACUUCUUUGGACUUUAAAGCACAUUUUUAAAAUACUUACAGCAUGGCCUUGUGAGGCAUGGAGUUUAACAAGCUUACAGCCAAGCUGGUUUGCCUCUGAGACCCUUCCACUCAGGCUGGGGCAACAGACCUCAUGAGGUACCAGCCAGGGCACUUUUGUGGCUGGUUGGGAAAGGGUAAAAAAAUGCUAAGGCUGUCUGUGGGCUCCUGGUGCCCUAGGAUCGGAUCAGAGCAGAGCCUGGCUGCAAGGGCUUUUGGAAGGUCACAUUGCCCCAGCAUUGCCAGGUCUUAAAUAUGAAAUUAUUGUAUUGGAAGCUCAAAAUUAGUCACAUUUGUUGGAAAAAAAACCCCUGUCACACUGAAAAAUAUGCAGAGCGGCAUUUAAACAAGCAUAAAAACAA